UACGUAGGGUGCGAGCGUUGUCCGGAAUUAUUGGGCGUAAAGGGCUCGUAGGCGGUUUGUCGCGUCGGGAGUGAAAACUCAGGGCUUAACCCUGAGCCUGCUUCCGAUACGGGCAGACUAGGGGUAUGCAGGGGAGAACGGAAUUCCUGGUGUAGCGGUGAAAUGCGCAGAUAUCAGGAGGAACACCGGUGGCGAAGGCGGUUCUCUGGGCAUUACCUGACGCUGAAGAUCGAAAGUGUGGGUAGCAAAUCG
rnacentral:rRNA from 1 species